AUUGAACGCUGGCGGCAUGCUUUACACAUGCAAGUCGAACGGCAGCGCGGUCUUCGGUCUCUCUGCCGGUGGCGAAGUGGUGAAUAAUUGAUCGGAACAUGCCCAUCUGCUUGUGCUUGCUCGUCAACGUCCGGAUUCAUACGCUAUUACAGCUUACGACCUACGCGUGGAAGCUUGGGAUCUUGCGCCCUUGCACCGGCCGAUGACCGAUUAGCUAGUUGGUGGGGUAAAGGCCUACCAAGGCGACGAUCUGUAGCUGGUCUGAGAGGACGACCAGCCACACUGGAACUGAGACACGGCCCAGACUCCUACGGGAGGCAGCAGUGGGGAAUUUUGGACAAUGGGCGAAAGCCUGAUCCAGCAAUGCCGCGUGUGUGAUGAAGGCCUUCGGGUUGUAAAGCACUUUUGGCGGGAACGAAAAGGACUGGGUCAAUACCACGGUUCGAUGACGGUACCCGAAGAAUAAGCACCGGCUAACUACGUG
rnacentral:rRNA from 1 species